CCUACGGGCGGCAGCAGUGAGGAAUAUUGGUCAAUGGACGCAAGCCUGAACCAGCCAUGCCGCGUGCAGGAUGACGGAUCUAUGAUUUGUAAACUUCUUUUGUACGAGGGUAAACCCAGAUACGUGUAUCGGGUUGAAUGUACCGUACGAAUAAGGAUCGGCUAACUCCGUGCCAGCAGCCGCGGUAAUACGGAGGAUCCGAGCGUUAUCCGGAUUUAUUGGGUUUAAAGGGUACGUAGGCGGUUUGUUAAGUUAGAGGUGAAAUGUCGGGGCUCAACCCCGAAACUGCCUCUAAUACUGUUGGACUAGAGAAUAGUUGCGGUAGGCGGAAUGUAUGGUGUAGCGGUGAAAUGCUUAGAGAUCAUACAGAACACCGAUUGCGAAGGCAGCUUACCAAACUAUAUCUGACGUUGAGGCACGAAAGCGUGGGUAGCAAACAGGAUUAGAUACCCCUGUAGUC
rnacentral:rRNA from 1 species